UAACUGCCCUGUUCGCAACAGGUAAGUCUUAUAAGGAACACAAACGCAGUUUUCAUUCGCUCGCUUACAAAAAGCAACUCUGGUCCAAAGAACUUCUGACAAAUAUUUCCCUCAACAUGAGAACUUUAUUGUUCAUCUGUGGAAUUCUUCUUUUUGCCAGUUUUACGAAAAGCUCAGUUGGAAACCCAGUGCCAAGUGAAGCGGAGGCUGGCGCUUGUAGCGUGGAAAACAAAGAAUGGCAAAUUGGAUGUGACCAUUGUUAUUGCCGAAACCAAUCAGUGUUUUGUGAAACAGACCCAGGCUGCCAGGAAAAAAAAUAAUGAUGAUAAGCAUUUGAAUUUUCGUGGGGGCUUUAUCUUUAAAAGGAGCAAGACAUCAUCCCCACCCUUUGGUUGGAGAUCGAGAGUUCUAUAAGUAUAUGAGAUGGAAAAUAAAGUAGAAACAGAAAAAUGA